rnacentral:rRNA from 1 species
UACGUAGGGUGCAAGCGUUAAUCGGAAUUACUGGGCGUAAAGCGUGCGUAGGUGGUUUGUUAAGUCUGUUGUGAAAGCCCCGGGCUCAACCUGGGAAUGGCAAUGGAUACUGGCAGGCUAGAGUGCGGUAGAGGGUAGUGGAAUUCCCGGUGUAGCGGUGAAAUGCGUAGAGAUCGGGAGGAACACCGGUGGCGAAGGCGGCCUGCUGGGCAGUGGCUGACGCUGAGGCGCGACAGCGUGGGGAGCAAACAGG